rnacentral:snoRNA from 1 species
AUUUUAUGAUGAAACAAUCUUUAUUCAGUUCUGCUUCUGAACAUACUUGAUGACACAAACUAUACCAAAAACAAUUUCUGAGCA